UAUGGCUCACUGCCCCUCAGGGGGCAGGGGGCUGGCGAUUCCUGAAGGAGCCCUGUCCCCUUCCAGAGUGUGUUAUCCUAAGUCACCAUGGAGAACCUGCAGCAGGCUCAUUGCCCGGCCAGGCAGAACUGCUUGGCCAUAACAAAGAUCCACUGCCUUUCUGAUGGCACCCAGCACCUCGGAUUCUGUAUACACGGGAGGUGACUUAAGCAUCUUACUGCCACCCUGAAAUCUGGGGUCCUUUAUCCUGGCAGCAUCUAGACCUAACGCCCACUUCAGAAUGGGAGGGAGGAUGUCUGCUGCCCCGUCGUCUCCACACCCGAGGAAUGUCCGUGUGUGUGCACAGCGGGCUGCACACAGCAGGCUGCACGGUGCUCGAAUGGAGGCCCUAAUGUGAAUGGAGACUAGCCUGCUGGUAGAGACCUUGGCAGUGACCGCCGUGGGCAAUGAGCCAUGGGCCAACAAUUCUAUGUGAUCUUGUCUCUAAUAUUGAAGAUUUAUGUAUUUUAAUGGACAAGAAUCAAAAAGAUUCAGUGCUGCGUUCCCUGAUGGAUGGUUACUGUUUGAGACUGAGGCCGGGGUAAAAGGGCUCAGAGUUUGUGCUUGAUUGACUCAUCCCGACGUGGCAAAGGUCCUGGCUUUCACCGGCGUGGGUAAGGGAAGAAGCGCUUUAUAAUGAGUGUGGCUGGUAUGGCUUCCUGAUUACAUUCUGGGGAAGAUCUUGCCUAGAGAAGAUCUGCUAGAGAAGGAGGCAAGACACUGAUAACCACUGGUGGCAGUUUUCGUCUUGCUUACAAGCUCUCCAGUUAUGCUCAGUAUUUCCAUGACAUCCCAAGACAUGCGGGCCAUGCUGCCACAUCCCCCUGUUUAACAAGUGUGGAAACUGAUAAUGGACUUACAAUGGCUGAUGUACUAUUUAGUGGUACAGGUUCUAACGUUUUAUAUUGUGGACAUGGGAUACCCAGACUGAGAACCAAUGGCUCCAGUCUGCUUUAAACAUGGGUCUGUGCUCACACCAUCAAUCCCUACCCUCUGUGCUCACAAGUCCCGUGUGAGUAAUACUCCAAAUUAUUCUGUCUUGUUUUGCUCAAUGGCAUGCUCUAUCUUAUGAUAGAGUAGACAAUGUAUUGAGACAAGAAUGCCAGUCAUCUGACAAACAAAAUGCAACCACUCUUUGUCAUUUAAUUAGUGAUGAAUAGUUGUGUUGAUCAUCAAACGUGUAUAAUUGGAUGAGAAGAGGUGUAACACGGGCCAAUGAUGACGAGGUUUCGGGAUUAUAAGUCACGGACGAUGACUACGUCACUAGAGGUCUGAGGUCCACAGCAUAAGAUGCCUCAUGUGACCCUCCCAUGCAGGGGUUGCAAGUCAGGCAUGUGCAGCACACAAUAGAUAUUAGCCAUGCACUCUCUUCAUUUCAUAGUAGAUCACAGAAUCAAGAUACGGAAAGGAUUUAAGGCAUUGAUCAAUACUAAACAUAAAUAUUUGACCAUCAAUGAUAUUUACGCACACACAGAAAAAUCUAUUCAGAGUGACUUACGCAAAGGUUUAUAUAACCUUUAUCCAAGGUGAUUUAUAUAGUAAAAUUCAUGGCUUAAGUCUUUAUGAUGGUCAAGGCCAUAAUUUGAAAGAUUAUCAAAAUUUUUUUCUUUUUAUAUACUUGAAUUUAUUUUUAAAGAAAAUGUACAAUUUCAAUCUUUUUAUUAUCUUUGCUGUUCUGUCCUCCCUGGAUGGGUGCUGACACAUGAUUUGUUGCCUGGCUGGUCCGUGGUUGCCAUCUCACCAUGUGGAUGGAGUUCGGCAGCUGAAAACGCAUUCUGCCACCAAGAUGAUUUUCACACUCUAGUUUGAUCAUGAGCCCCAUAAUAAGCUGCUUCAGAUUGUAAUAUAGACACAGUAAUGUAUGCCUCCAGGCUGAUUCACACCUUCCUCGUUAGUCUUGAGGUUUGAGAUUCCCUGUUUGUGUCUGCAGGAUUCAGAUAGUAAUGGAUAUCCUGCAAUCCGACUUCAUAGAGUCUCCCUUGAAAGUGAACCUCGUGAUCUAGCCUUUGUGUCCAUGGAUAGACACUGUGAUGGAUAACCCCCAAGUUCAUUUAGAUAUUCUCUCCUCAUCAUAAGUGUCAUGGUCAACACUGUUCUUGUAGAUACCAGAAUGGAUACUCCUAAGCUGAUGUAUAUACACACUUCCCUGCUUGAGAGAUUCCUGCUCUGGUGGUUGUAAUCAUAAGAUAUACAUAGUUGUGUAGUCAUUGUUCACACCUUGGUUGUGGCCACACACACUACUGUUGAAUUACCACCUUGUCUAAGUGGAUGGAUGCCCUCAAUGGAAUUUGCACAUUCUCCAUUGCUCCUCCGCUCUGUUAUCAGCACUUCGGGUUCAUAAUGUACACACAGCAAUGGAUUUUCUGCAGCUGAUUUUCCAUAUUCAGUUUUCUUCAGGUGAGCGGAACCAGAUGCCUUCCUCACUGGUCACCAGGUUCAUGGUCCCUCAUGUGUCAGGAGCACAGUCACCAAUAAAGGCCAACUUCAGAUCAGUGGGUGGAUCCUAACUCGUUCCAAGCUCAAGGGUUGAUUGUGCUGUUAGAGUCACAGCUACAACCGGCUCAGGGAAUCCAGUGGAAGAGGAGGUAGAGUGGAAGAGCCAAUUGGAAUGGAAGACACUGAGGUAACAAGGCCUUCAAGAUCCAAGAGGACUGAUGAGCUCACAGAGACUGAGGCAGCACUGAGGACCUGUGCAGGCCUAAGCUUGAUGGGGUCUCAGCACUGAGGGGAAGUGGACACAAUUCUAUAUUGACAACCCAGAAGCUUUCUCCAGUUGAUAGACUCUCUCCAAGGACAAACUUGUUUUCUCUAGUGGAGUGUCACUGGACAUAUAAACUACCCUUAGCAGCAGGCUCCAUGGCCCAGACGGCCAACACGAGAUGAACUCAGUUGCAUUUUUGCAGGGUUUUGUGACUCACAGUGCUUUGUCUGGGUACCUCUUUACCCUACAGAGAAUUUCUGUAUAUAUUAUUGUUUCUGAUUGUAGUUUUUUGAAUUUUCUCUGGGUCUAAAUAUAUGUGUUUCGGUGGCUGUAUGUGUUCCUCAUGAUUUUUCUUUGCCUCUUUUAUUCCUAUUCUUCUUUGCUUGUACUCCCUGGUUUGUGUUUUAGUCUCUGCGAACUCUGAGGAUCUGGUUGGUAAGAUUGUUGUUCUUCCUACGGGGUUGCAAACCCCUUCAGCUCCUUCAGCCCUUCACUAAGUCCCCCAUUAUUGUGGUCCCCUUGCUCAGUCCAGUGGUUGGAUGCGAGCUACCCCCUCUGUAUUUGUUAGACUCUGGCAGAGCCUCUAAAGAGACUGCUAUAUUAAGCUCUUGUCUGCUUUGUUUGUUUUUAUUCUGUCUUCUUUAUACUUUUUAUCUUAGAUGACUGUUUUUAAUCUAAUGUAAGAAUGAAUAAAUGGGUGUGUGUUUGGGUGGAUGGGGAA